rnacentral:rRNA from 1 species
UACAGGGGGGGCAAGCGUUGUUCGGAAUUACUGGGCGUAAAGGGUUCGUAGGUGGCCACUUAAGUCAGACGUGAAAUCCCUCAGCUUAACUGGGGAACUGCGUCUGAUACUGGGUGGCUUGAGUGCAGGAGAGGGAUGCGGAAUUCCAGGUGUAGCGGUGAAAUGCGUAGAUAUCGGGAGGAACACCAGUGGCGAAAGCGGCCUCCUGGACUGUACCUGACGCUGAGACACGAAAGCUAGGGGAGCGAACGGG